rnacentral:lncRNA from 1 species
CCUUUUUAUAGAUUUUGAUCAACAUAAAGCAGUAAAGGAUGCAUUUAUUUCAACUUUUCACCAUAGUUUCUUGUUAAUUAUAAAGUCUGACAAUAAGUUUUGCGAGUCUGCUAUUAACAGAAAUUUUUAUUUUGGAGAACAAAUAAAUUAUGGAUAGGAAGAGAUAUUCUUAUUCUUACAUUGUAUUUUGACAUAGUCUCCACUGAUAUUGAUACAUUAAUUUUAUUGCUUAACAAAGUUGAAGCUCCCAUAAAAGUCUCUACUUUCCAUAUGGACAAAAUUUCAAAUGGCUUAUUUCUUGUCUCCAUUAUUGGUGAAAUGCUGUUAUCCCAACAUCAUCAUCAAAGCUGGAAGAAAAAGUCAGAUUGCAAAGGGGAUGAUUGAGGUGUUCUUAUUUGAACUUGGCAAUAAUGUUUAUUGUUGUUGUUGUUGUUGUUGCCAUAUUUGCCUUGUGCCCAUCAUAGUGGACAACCAGUUACAGUUUGUUCAUGUCUGCAGCAUAUGUCUGUUCACUAUUAUAUUCCCCUGGAAUAUUGGGGGC